CUUGGUGGUCUGUGCGGCGGGGGUACACCUGUUCCCAUUCCGAACACAGCAGUUAAGCCCGCCAGCGCCGAUGGUACUACACCCUUGGGGUGUUGGGAGAGUAGGUCGCCGCCAAGA
rfam:Bacterium CG10_46_32 isolate CG10_46_32 CG10_big_fil_rev_8_21_14_0.10_scaffold_442, whole genome shotgun sequence.